rnacentral:rRNA from 1 species
AGCAGCCGCGGUAAUUCCAGCUCCAAUAGCGUAUAUUAAAGUUGUUGCAGUUAAAAAGCUCGUAGUUGAAUUUUGGGUUUGGCCAAUUGGUCCGUUCUUGUAACGAGUACUGGUUGGUUGGGCCUCACCGCCUGGUGAUACGUAAUGUCCUUUAUUGGGUGUUGCGAGUAGCCAGGACCUUUACCUUGAAAAAAUUAGAGUGUUUAAAGCAGGCUUAUGCCGGAAUACAUUAGCAUGGAAUAAUAGAAUAGGACGAUGAUUCUAUUUUGUUGGUUUCUAGGAGCAUCGUAAUGAUUAAUAGGGAUAGUUGGGGGCAUUAGUAUUCAAUUGUCAGAGGUGAAAUUCUUGGAUUUAUUGAAGACUAACUACUGCGAAAGCAUUUGCCAAGGAUGUUUUCAUUAAUCAAGAACGAAAGUUAGGGGAUGGAAGACGAUCAGAUACCGUCGUAGUCUUAACCAUAAACUAUGCCGACUAGGGAUCGGAUGAUGUUAAUUUUUUAAUGACUCA